rnacentral:rRNA from 1 species
UACGUAGGGGCCGAGCGUUGUCCGGAGUUAUUGGGCGUAAAGCGCGCGCAGGCGGCUUCGCGCGUCCGCCGUGAAAGCCCCCGGCUUAACCGGGGAGGGUCGUUGGGUACGGCGGAGCUUGAGGGCGGGAGAGGGUGGUGGAAUUCCUGGUGUAGCGGUGAAAUGCGUAGAUAUCUGGAGGAACACCGGUGGCGAAGGCGGCAUCCUGGACCGGCAUUGACGCUGAGGCGCGAAAGCCAGGGGAGCAAACGGG